AGAGUUUGAUCAUGGCUCAGAUUGAACGCUGGCGGCAGGCCUAACACAUGCAAGUCGAACGGUAACAGGAAGCAGCUUGCUGUUUCGCUGACGAGUGGCGGACGGGUGAGUAAUGUCUGGGAAACUGCCUGAUGGAGGGGGAUAACUACUGGAAACGGUAGCUAAUACCGCAUAACGUCGCAAGACCAAAGAGGGGGACCUUCGGGCCUCUUGCCAUCGGAUGUGCCCAGAUGGGAUUAGCUAGUAGGUGGGGUAACGGCUCACCUAGGCGACGAUCCCUAGCUGGUCUGAGAGGAUGACCAGCCACACUGGAACUGAGACACGGUCCAGACUCCUACGGGAGGCAGCAGUGGGGAAUAUUGCACAAUGGGCGCAAGCCUGAUGCAGCGACGCCGCGUGCGGGAUGACGGCCUUCGGGUUGUAAACCGCUUUUGAUCGGGAGCAAGCCUUCGGGUGAGUGUACCUUUCGAAUAAGCACCGGCUAACUACGUGCCAGCAGCCGCGGUAAUACGUAGGGUGCAAGCGUUAUCCGGAAUUAUUGGGCGUAAAGGGCUCGUAGGCGGUUCGUCGCGUCCGGUGUGAAAGUCCAUCGCUUAACGGUGGAUCUGCGCCGGGUACGGGCGGGCUGGAGUGCGGUAGGGGAGACUGGAAUUCCCGGUGUAACGGUGGAAUGUGUAGAUAUCGGGAAGAACACCAAUGGCGAAGGCAGGUCUCUGGGCCGUUACUGACGCUGAGGAGCGAAAGCGUGGGGAGCGAACAGGAUUAGAUACCCUGGUAGUCCACGCCGUAAACGGUGGAUGCUGGAUGUGGGGCCCGUUCCACGGGUUCCGUGUCGGAGCUAACGCGUUAAGCAUCCCGCCUGGGGAGUACGGCCGCAAGGCUAAAACUCAAAGAAAUUGACGGGGGCCCGCACAAGCGGCGGAGCAUGCGGAUUAAUUCGAUGCAACGCGAAGAACCUUACCUGGGCUUGACAUGUUCCCGACCGCGGUAGAGAUGUCGUUUCCCUUCGGGGCGGGUUCACAGGUGGUGCAUGGUCGUCGUCAGCUCGUGUCGUGAGAUGUUGGGUUAAGUCCCGCAACGAGCGCAACCCUCGCCCUGUGUUGCCAGCACGUCAUGGUGGGAACUCACGGGGGACCGCCGGGGUCAACUCGGAGGAAGGUGGGGAUGACGUCAGAUCAUCAUGCCCCUUACGUCCAGGGCUUCACGCAUGCUACAAUGGCCGGUACAACGGGAUGCGACACGGCGACGUGGAGCGGAUCCCUGAAAACCGGUCUCAGUUCGGAUUGGAGUCUGCAACCCGACUCCAUGAAGGCGGAGUCGCUAGUAAUCGCGGAUCAGCAACGCCGCGGUGAAUGCGUUCCCGGGCCUUGUACACACCGCCCGUCAAGUCAUGAAAGUGGGUAGCACCCGAAGCCGGUGGCCUAACCCUUUGUGGAUGGAGCCGUCUAAGGUGAGACUCGUGAUUGGGACUAAGUCGUAACAAGGUAGCCGUACCGGAAGGUGCGGCUG
rnacentral:rRNA from 1 species